CCUGAUGGAGGACCGUAGCGAUUCUGACGUGCAAAUCGAUCGUCGGAGCUGGGUAUAGGGGCGAAAGACUAAUCGAACCAUCUAGUAGCUGGUUCCUGUCGAAGUUUCCCUCAGGAUAGCUGGUACUCAUUAACGAGUUUCAUCCGGUAAAGCGAAUGAUUAGAAGCCUUGGGGGCGAAACGCCCUCAACUUAUUCUCAAACUUUAAAUGGGUGAGAAGCCCGUGUUGCUUGAGUGAACUCGGGCACUGAAUCGGAGUACCUAGUGGGCCAUUUUUGGUAAGCAGAACUGGCGCUGCGGGAUGAACCGAACGCAAGGUUAAAGUGCCCAAAUGGAAGUUCAUCAGAUCCCACGAAAGGUGUUGGUUGCUUAAGACAGCAGGACGGUGGCCAUGGAAGUCGGAAUCCGCUAAGGAGUGUGUAACAACUCACCUGCCGAAGCAACCAGCCCUGAAAAUGGAUGGCGCUAAAACUUCCUACUUAUACCUUGCCAUUGAAUCAGAGCUUGGCCCUUUGAGGCCCUGACGAUUCAAUGAGUAGGCAGGUCGAACCGGUGGCGUGGAAGGCUCUGGGAGUGAUCCUGGCUGAAGCCGCCGGUUGUGCAGAUCUUGGUGGUAGUAGCAAAUACUCCAGAGAGGCCCUGGAGGACCGAUGUGGAGAAGGGUUUCGUGUGAACAGCCGUUGAACACGAGUCAGUCGAUCCUAAGGCUUAGUGGAAGCAUUGUUCAAUAGGGCGGUGAUCUAUUUCUAUAGAGCCGCAUCUACAGCCGAAAGGGAAACUGGUCCAUAUUCCAGUACCUGGUAGCGUAACCGUUGGGAGCCUCGUAUCUCACGUGGUAACACGAACAGAGCUUGAGACGCCCGCCCGAACUCUGGGAAGAGUUGUCUUUUCUGCAUAAGCAACCGAGGCCCUGGAAUUUCUUUGAGAAGAGAAUGGGUUUUGGUUUUGCCAAGAGCACAGCAGUUCUCGUUGUGUCCAUGAGCGUCGGGCGGGACCUUGAAAAUCAAGCUGAGGGCUUCGGCGAGUCGCACCAGUUCGUACCCAUAUCCGCAGCAGGUCUCCUAGGUAAACAGCCUCUGGUCGAUAGAAUAAUGUAGGUAAGGGAAGUCGGCAAAUUGGUUCCGUAACUUCGGGAAAAGGAAUGGCUCUAAAGGCCGGGGUGUUUGGGCUUAGUGCAGGAAGCAGUCGGUUUAUCGGUGGGCCUGGCGAAACCUUCGCGGUGAAGUCGGUCCCAUUCUCAAGCUACUGUGGAGUGCCUUUGCUUCGCAGUCCCGGGCAACCGGGUAACUGUUCAAGCAUCAAUUAACGGCUAAUUUAGAACUGGCACGGACAAGGGGAAUCCGACUGUUUAAUUAAAACAAAGCAUUGCGAUGGUCAGAGAGUGAUGUUGACGCAAUGUGAUUUCUGCCCAGUGCUCUGAAUGUCAAAGUGAAGAGGUUCGUCCAAGCGCGGGUAAACGGCGGGAGUAACUAUGACUCUCUUAAGGUAGCCAAAUGCCUCGUCAUCUAAUUAGUGACGCGCAUGAAUGGAUUAACGAGAUUCCCACUGUCCCUAUCUACUAUCUAGCGAAACCGCAGCCAAGGGAACGGACUUGGGAGAAUCAGCGGGGAAAGAAGACCCUGUUGAGCUUGACUCUAGUCUCCUAUUGUGGCGAAGCAUUUUUGGCGUAGAAUAGGGAGGAGCGCAAGCAUCAGUGAAAUACUCCUACAAAAAUCGCUUCUCUGCUUACUCGGUUAAGCGAAGUUAGAGCUUUCGGGCUCUAUUUCUCGAAUCAAAUGGUAAAUCUCCGAUUUGUCAUGAUUCGCUCCGAGGACAUUGCGAGGCGGGGAGUUUGACUGGGGCGGUACAUCUGUCAAAUGAUAACGCAGGUGUCCUAAGGCCAGCUCAGUGAGGACAGAAACCUCACGUGGAGUAAAAGGGCAAAAGCUGGCUUGACUUUUCCCUUCAGUACGGGGCAAAGAGAAGAAAUUUCGGCCUAUCGAUCCUCUUUAUUUCGGAGUUUGAAGAAAGAGGUGCCAGAAAAGUUACCACAGGGAUAACUGGCUUGUGGCUGCCAAGCGUUCAUAGCGACGUAGCUUUUUGAUCCUUCGAUGUCGGCUCUUCCUAUCAUUCAGAAGCAGAAUUCUGAUAGUGUCGGAUUGUUCACCCGCCAAUAGGGAACGUGAGCUGGGUUUAGACCGUCGU
rnacentral:rRNA from 1 species